rnacentral:rRNA from 1 species
UACAGAGGGGCGAGCGUUGUUCGGAAUUACUGGGCGUAAAGGGCGCGUAGGCGGCCUUCUAAGUCGAACGUGAAAUCCCCGGGCUCAACCCGGGAACUGCGUCCGAUACUGGGAGGCUUGAAUCCGGGAGAGGGAUGUGGAAUUCCAGGUGUAGCGGUGAAAUGCGUAGAGAGUCCGGAGGAACCCCAGAGGCGAAGGCGGCGUCCUGGCUCGCAUCUGACGCUCAGACACGACAGCAUGGGGAGCGAACGGG